rnacentral:rRNA from 1 species
UACGUAGGGUGCGAGCGUUAAUCGGAAUUACUGGGCGUAAAGCGUGCGCAGGCGGUUGUAGAAGACGAUGUGAAAUCCCCCGGGCUUAACCUGGGGAAUGGCAUUGGUGACUGCACGGCUAGAGUGUGUCAGAGGGGGGUAGAAUUCCACGUGUAGCAGUGAAAUGCGUAGAGAUGUGGAGGAAUACCGAUGGCGAAGGCAGCCCCCUGGGAUAACACUGACGCUCAUGCACGAAAGCGUGGGGAGCAAACAGG